ensembl:lncRNA
GUUCUCCGGAACAGGUAAAAACCCAUGCCUAUGAAUAACAAUUUGACGGGAUGGGAUGAACUAGGCUAGCAAUGGUUCUUACAGGAUGGCUAUAGAAGAAAAUACAACUAUAGAAGCCAACCUGUUGAUGGAGUAGAAAGACCACCAGUAAAGAAUCCAGUGUUUUAGGAUGCUGGUGGUCUUCCUGGUGGAGUAACUGAGGAGCAGAAACAUGGGGUUUGAAGGCUCUCACUACAUGAUUCCAUAUCUGUUACAUUGAGACAAAUGACCAAGAAGAGAGAAACAUGUUUGAACUGUUGGAGAUGUUUUAAAUGAAAUGUACAUUUAAAAUGAGGGAAAACAAGCAAACGUUGCACAUAUUAACUUGCAUUCAAUCAGAUGAAGUACAAAGCUACAAAAGUAUUGGGACAGAGUCAUUUAUGCACCCCCCCCACCCCCAAGCAAGGUAUACUGUAGGGAGAGGAUAUUGGUUGAGAGGAACCAGGCCUGAGGGGUAGAGCUCAUUCUCAUCUGCCUUGUAAAGAGAGAGAGCUCUGCAGUACUGAGAUGUUUUAUUACUAAGAGAGAGCUCUGCAGUACUGAGAUGUUUUAUUACUAAGAGAGAGCUCUGCAGUACUGAGAUGUUUUAUUACUAAGAGAGAGCUCUGCAGUACUGAGAUGUUUUAUUACUAAGAGAGAGCUCUGCAGUACUGAGAUAUUUUAUUACUAAGAGAGAGCUCUGCAGUACUGAGAUAUUUUAUUACUAAGAGAGAGCUCUGCAGUACUGAGAUAUGUUAUUACUAACAACAGUGGUGCAUGUGUAUUUGUUUUAAUACCUUAAUAUUAAAAUUGUCUUUGUCAAAUUCCUUCAAAUUACCAUCUGGUAUAUAUCUAAGCAUAUCUGUUUUCACAAUAGAAUUUUGUCACC